UCGUGUCUAUUAAAGAAAUUAAAACAAGUAACUUGCUAGUAAAGCAUAAGCCCUUCACAAUUUAACCAAUGAUAGGAACCCUGGUAACAAUCCCAUAGGUGUUAACCCAAACUCGAACCCUAGUGCACAAGAAAUCCGCUGUAACAAAUGAUCCUUCCAACACAAUCACAGCAUUGACAUGAGGAUUCUCCUUCUCAAUUCUUGCUGCCGCAUCCUCCCCUUUCUUCCCCACAAGCUCAGGCCAAGAACUUUUCCCUACAUUUAUAGCCACAAGAACUUAUAUAAUUGCUUUUAAGGAAAUAAAAUCAUUAGUACAAUUACAAAUCAUUCUUAGCUUCGAAAGUUGUUAAUAUUUACCUUUGCAUUCAUCUGAAGCCAUCUUGUUCUUCCUCUUACUCUAUUGAACUAUUUUUCCUCCUUUGAUUUAUUUGUGUUAUGAAAACUAGUUAAGAUGGGAAUUUAUAGAUGAGUAGGUUAGCCUGCUGCUCAUUAUUGACCUUUCUAGGAAGCUUAUGUAGAAAGUUUGAAGUGUUUUUAUGGGGAUAAAUUGUUUGUUGUAUUCCACUAUCAGCUCUGAUGAAGAUUAGGAUGAAGACAGUUGGUGCACUCUUCAGCAAUUUUUCUCACUUUCCUUACCAAAAUUAAAUUUAGAGUUCACAGAUAUAUGGUUUCCACAACCAUUUGUCUAAUGAAAUUUUCGAUUACUACAUAUUGUUUGAACAGCUCAAAUCUUAACUUGUCUAGAUUUUUCAAAAUUGGAUUAUACUUCAAGAUAUCUUGAAACAUUUAUUGGCUUAAAACAAUGAAUUUAAGUCAAUUAAUGAUCCAUAUAUAUAUACAUAUAUCUCUAUAAACAAAGGACCAAAAUCUUAAUCAUGUAAAAGAGAAAGCAAAAAUGAAAACCACAAACAUAUGAGAUAAAGUUGAAGUCUUUGAUGUGUUCCAACAAGGAAGAUUUGAAAUUCAAUUUGUGUAUGGUGCGAACACCCAAAACUUAAAGAAAAACAAACAUAUAGAAAGUCAUAAUAACUAUAUAUCUAUAAACAACUUUAAACAAGCACAGAAAUUUUAAAGCUAUAUAUAAAGAGUUGAAAGUCUUUGUUGCAAGAAGGAAGGUGAAUAUUAGAUUUUGAUUUAUCUUCGGAGAAGUGAUUGUUAAAUGUUAAUAUAUUCUUUGAUUAUUUAAAGUCAACAGAGCAAUAAUGAGCAUGGUAGAUUUAAAUGGUAUGUUCAAUUCUUUUAGAAUUAGACAUUAUCUUUGAGGUUUUGAGCAUCCAUAUUUAAUUAGCUUGAAGACGAUGUACAAUGCUUCAAUGAUUAAUUUAUCAAGUUAAUUGAUGUCAGAGGGUCUGAACCGACUAUCUAUUAAGCAAAAUCAGAUUUUUAUCUUAUCAAGCGUUGUUUAUGGUUUUCUAAAUGGCUAAAGCACAAAAUAAGUCCUUAUACUAAAAAUAUCUAUCAUAUGAGCUUUUAUCUUUUUAUUGCAUUAAAUAUUUGAGCUCUUAAUCAAUUAUUACAAUCAAUCGAGUCCUUUUGGAUAUAUAAAAAUUUUAACACCAUUAACUCUUUCUACCAAUGAGAACAGAAUUGUCAUGUGCCAUAAAUAAUGUGGAACACACAGCAUUUUUUAGGCAUGUGUUAAAAUAAAAAAAAAACAAAGAAUUUAAUAAUUUUUUCAUUGAAAUUUUCUAUGCGUCUGAUUACAUCAAAGCUUCUUUGAACAGUUCCAUGUCUUUACUUGCAGAUAUUGCAAUAGCCAAUAGGGAAGCUUAUCACCAAGAUUGGCUUAUGCUUCAAGACAUUUCUUGAAUCAGGGCAAGGUUGAAAAUUGAUCUAGAUCUCUACUGGUCAAAGUCAGCCUGUAAAUAUAUUGCUUACGUUGAAAAUUGUGCAUUUUCAUUCACAUUCAAUCCAAAUUUUCUAACAAGAUAGUUAAUUAAUUAUUGUAAGCAUUCGGUUUUCAUUUUAUAAAUACUAGAGUGGUGCCUCGCUUUGUGUGGGUGUUAAAUUUUUUAUUAAAAAUUAUAUAAUAUUAUAAAUAAAAAUAAUAAUAUCAAGAGCAAUAAUUUUAAAUUUAAAAAUACUAUAAAUAAUAGUUAUAAUGAUAAUUUAAAGAAAAUUAUUUUUUAAAAUAUUUCUCAUCUCUUAUUAAGCAAAAAUUUUAUUUAAAUAAUUUUUUUUAAAACAUUUAAUUUUUUAUAUCUUAAUAUAUGCUAAUAUUGAUAUAUUCAUAUUUUAUUAAUUACAUGAUUCUAAUAGUGAAAUCAAAUUCAUAUUGAAAAAAUAUAAUGUUUUAAAAGUAAUUAUUGAUAAGCUAUAUAAUUGAUAUAAUAAAAUUAUUCAAAUAAAAUAAAUAUUUUUUGAAAGUCAAAAUGAAAUAAAUAUUAAUUAUACUUAUUAAUUUUUUUAGUUUUAAUGAUGAAAUGUUCUAAAUGAUCUUUAAUUUUAAUUAGUACUUUUUUAUCUCAUGCCUUUAUAAUUGUUUAGAAUUAAUUCCCCUUAUAAUUCCUAUCGUGUCUCAUUAAAAAUUAAAAAUUUGCUUCACAUCAAACUUGAAUGAAAUCCAUAAAUGUGCACCAAAAAAAGUUUAUUUUUAUAUUUUAUUUUAUAAAGAAUAUAUAUUUCAUAAUACAUGAAAGCACUGUUAGCUUCAAUUUCCUAUGAACCAAAACAUUAUCAAUACGGAAAAAAUGCUCUUAUGAAGCUAAAGAAAAAAAAUCUUCUGUUGACAAUCCUAAAUGCAACCGACCCCACAAAAAUCAUCUCAAAAUUCUUUAUAAAUCAAUCAUUUUAAAUUAGCCACAUGUCAAUAAAAGAAGCCACAAACGUGGCCAAGUGUGGAAGCCCCUGUAGGGCUUCAUUUUACUUAUGUUAUAGAUAUAUCUAUAUAUUGAAUCGAAAGUGUACAUUUAAUUUGAAAUAGAUCAUAGGAAAUGUAACAUGGAGUGAAAUUAUAAAGUGUUUUGUGAUCUUUAUUGAGAUUUCAUUUUUAUGUAAUGUAGAGAAACAAACUCAAUGAUGAACCAUGAUAGAGUUGAAUCAUUUCAUUUUCAUCACAGCUUGAACACGAACCAAUGGGGAAUCAAACCGAGGGGGUCUGUACCGAGGCAGGGUAUUACUAUUCUACCAUUAGAGUCCUUCCAACUUCACCUUGACAAAAUUAUCACCACGCAGCCCUAACCCCUAAAUCUGAUGAAAAACCCAAAAUGCCUCUGUCCCAAAAUAUUUAAAUUACAUUUACAUAUUUUUUAUCAAUAAUGAUUUGCAGUUUUUAAGUAUUAAUUACAUACAAGGGAGCCAAAUCAUGUUCAUCUUGCAAGAAAGAAAUGACAUGAUGCUUCAUUUUUUUAAAAAAAGAAGAAAUUAAAACUAAAUGUAACCUACAUCUAUAUAUAAAGUAUAAAUUAAUAACUUUUCUUUGAAAAUUAGAAAUUCAUAUCUGUCCAUGGCAUUCUCUUUCCAGAUUCCAAUUUCAUGGCAAAGUCUUUCCAUAUGUCUGAUCUCUACAUACUAUUGCACAUCCCAAAUCAGAAAUCAGGCUUUGAUAUCUUAUAAUGCUUUAUCCUGAUCUCACAAAAUAAAUGUUGUAGUAGUUGACAAGGUAAUUUGUUCUCUAUGUUCAUAUAUUACGAAUAAAUAACAGUUUACAGAAUUAGAUUUGACUCAAUAGUUCAUGUAUGUGUUCCCUUCAAAGAGUGGGAUUUGAAUUUCUUUUCUCCAAAAAACCAAAAGAAAGAAAACGUUAUAAGAUUGUCAUUAUUUGCAAUAAUAUUCUCCAACAUCACAAGAAUUAAUCCUUCUUGAGCAAUAGGUACGUUAAAAGGAUGCAAUAGGACAUUUUGCAAAGAAUGGACCAUUUAGGUCCGGCACCUUCAAAAUGUUGUAUUUCUUCUCCCUUAAUUCCAAAUUCAAGUGCAUGAAAAAAUAUGAUCAUAAAAUACAAAGAAGCCUUAAUGGAGAUGGUUAAAAAUCUUAUUCCAAACAAAAAAUAAAUUAUAGAUUUAAAUAAAGAUAAUGAGAUCGUAUAACAUAAUAGUGGGUAUUCUUAUUUUAAAUUACAAUACGUAAUUUGUGUUUAUUAAAGAAAUUAAAACAAGUAACUUGCUAGUAAAGCAUAAGCCCUUCACAAUUUAACCAAUGGUCGGAACCCUGGUAACAAUCCCAUAGGUGUUAACCCAAACUCGAACCCUAGUGCACAAGAAAUCCGCUGUAACAAAUGAUCCUUCCAACACAAUCACAGCAUUGACAUGAGGAUUCUCCUUCUCAAUUCUUGCCGCUGCAUCCUCCCCUUUCUUCCCCACAAGCUCAGGCCAAGAACUUUUCCCUACAUUUAUAGCCACAAGAACUUAUAUAAUUGCUUUUAAGGAAAUAAAAUUAUUAUUACAAUUACAAAUCAUUCUUAGCUUCGAAAGUUGUUAAUAUUUACCUUCGCAUUCAUCUGAAGCCAUCUUGUUCUUCCUCUUACUCUAUUGAACUAUUUUUUCUCCUUUGAUUUAUUUGUGUUAUGGAAACUAGUUAAGAUGGGUAUUUAUAGAUGAGUAGGUUAGCCUGCUGCUCAUUAUUGACCUUUCUUAGAAGCUUAUGUUGAAAGUUUCAAGUAUUUUUUUUGGGGAUAAAUUGUUUGUUGUAUUCCAACAUCAGCUCUGAUGAAGAUUAGGAUGAAGACAGUUGGUGCACUCUUCAGCAAUUUUUCUCACUUUCCUUACCAAAAUUAAAUUUAGAGUUCAAGGAUAUAUGGUUUCCGCGACCAUUUGUCUAAUGAAAUUUUCUAUUACUACAUAUUGUUUGAACAGCUCAAAUCUUAACUUGUCUAGAUUUUUCAAAAUUGGAUUAUGCUUCAAGAUAUCUUGAAACAUUUAUUGGCUUAAAACUAUGAAUUUAAGUCAAUUGAUGAUCCAUAUACAUAUAUCUAUAAACAAAGGACCAAAUCUUAAUCAUGUAAAAGAGAAAGCAAAAAUGAAAACCACAAACAUAUGAGAUAAAGUUGAAGUCUUUGAUGUGUUCCAACAAGGAAGAUUUGAAAUUCAAUUUGUGUAUGGUGUGAACACCCAAAAAUUAAAGAAAAACAAACACAUUGAAAGUCAUAAUAGCUAUAUAUCUAUAAACAACUUUAAACAAGCACAGAAAUUUUAAAACUAUAUAUAAAGAGUUGAAAGUCUUCGUUCCAAGAAGGAAGACUGAAUCUUAUAUUUUGAUUUAUCUCUCGGAGAAGUGAUUGUUAAAUGAUAAUAUAUUCUUUGAUUAUUUAAAGUCAAUAGGGCAAUAAUGAGUAUGAAGAUAUAAAUGGUAUAUUCAAUUCUUUUAGAAUUAGACAUUAUCUUUGAGGUUUUGAGCAUCCAUAUUUAAAUAGCUUGAAGACGAUGUACAAUGCUUCAAUGAUUAAUUUAUCAAGUUAAUUAAUAAGUUAGGUUCCAAGUCCAAAUUGUACUCUUAAAAAAUGGGUUAAAAUUAAAUUGGUUUCGUCUCACUGAUUAAGUAAUCAUUUAUAACUAUUUAUUCUAUUAUUUAUUAUUACUAAUGUCGGAGAGUCUAAACCAACUAUCUAUUAAGCAAAAUCAAAUUUUAAUCUUAUCAGGCAUUGUUUAUGGUUUUCUAAAUGGCUAAAGCACAAAAUAAGUCCUUAUACUAAAAAUAUCUAUCAUUUGAGCUUUUAUCUUUUUAGUGCAUUAAAUAUUUGAGUUCUUAAUCAACUAUUACAAUCAAUUGAGUCCUUACUGGAAUAUAUAAAAAUUUUAACACCAUUAGCUCUUUCUAUCAAUGAGAAUAAGAUUGUCAUGUGACAUAAACAAUGUGGAACACACAGCAUUUUUUAGGCAUGUGUUAAAAUUAAAAAAAAAAAAACAAAGAAUUCCUUUCAUUCUUGACAUGUAUUAAAAAUGACCAUUUCUUUUAAUUUGACACACAUGCUCAAAAAAUGUCGUGUUAAUAUUUAUUCCACAUCAUUCAUGUCUCAUGAAAAUUAUAUCCCGACUAAUAGAAAUUAAAGAAUUAAUGGUGUUAAAAUUUUCAUCAAAUAAGAAUCCAAUUGAUUGUAAAUAAUUGAUUAAAAACCUAAUUAUUUACAAUAGAAUAGAAGCUCUUGCAACACAUUUAAUUGCAUACAAGGGCUUAUUUUGUUUUUAGUCAAAUCAUAUUCAUCUUGUGUGAAAGAAAUGACAUGAUGCCAGUCGACAUGGUGCUUCAAUAUUUUUUUUUUUAAAUAAACUACAUGUAACAUAAAUAAAGUAUAAUAUAAGUAUUUUCAUGAAUGCAUUAAAAAAUCAAUAACUUGAUUAGGCAUUGUACAAAUAUAUAACUAUCUUCCCUUUGGAAAUUAGAAAUUCAUAAUUCAUCCAUGGCAUUCUAUUUCCAGAUUCCAAUUUCAUGGCAAAGUGUUUCCAUAUGUCAUGUAUUUCUACAUUGCAAAUUCCAAAACAGAAAUCAGGCUUUGAUAUCUUAUAACUCAUUAACGAUUUGUGUAUGUAUUCCCUUCGGAGAGCCUUAAUGGAGACCGUUUAGCAUCUAAUUAGUCCAAAUUUGAAACAAAUUAGAGACUUACGUAGAUAAACAAUGAGAUCAAAUAAUCAAAUUUAUUCUUGUUUUAUAUUACAACAUAGUCCCCAUUUAUUAAAAAAAUAAAAGCAAGUAACUUGCUAUAGUCGAGCAUAAGCCCUUCACAAUAUAUUUAACCAAUGAUGGGAACCCUGGUAACGAUCCCAUCCGUGUUAACCCAAACCCGAACCCUAGUGCACAAGAACUCCAAUGUUACAAAUGUUCCUUCCAACACAAUCAUAGCAUUGACAUGAGGAUUCUCCUUCUCAAUUCUUGCCGCUGCAUCCUCCCCUUUCUUCCCCACAAGCUCAGGCCACGAACUUUUCCCUACACAUAUAGCCACAAGAAUGUAUAUAAUUAUUCUGAAGGAAAAAAAGUUAUUAGUACGAUUACAAAGCAUUCUUAGCUUUGAAAGUUGUUACUAUUUACCUUUGCAUUCGUCUGAAGCCAUCUUGUUCUUCUUUUCACUCUAUUGAACUAUUUUUUUCUACUUUGAUUUAUUUGUGUUAAGGCAACUAGUUAAGAUGGGUAUUUAUAGAUGAGGAGCAGAUUAGCCUGUUCCUCAUUGUUGACCUUUCCAGCAGGCUUAUGUUGAAAGUUUGAAGUGUUUUUUUGGGAGGGGAUAAAUUUUUUGUUGUAUUCCAACAUCACCUCUGAGAAAGAUUAGGAUGAAGAAAGUUGGUGCAUUUUUAAGCAAUGUUUCUCACUUUCCCUUCCAAAACUUAAUCUAUAAACCUAACAUAUUUGUGGUCUCAGCUGCCACUAUCUGCCCAAUGACAUUUUCAAUGCAUUUGAUUACAGCAAAGUAUCUUUGAACAGUUCAGCAUCUUAGCUUGUGGAUAUUGCAAUAGGAAGCUUAUCCCAAAGAUUGGAUUAUGGUGCAAGAUAUCUUGAAUCAGGGCAAGGUAUUCAAACAAAUAUGGCUUAAAAGUCAUCAGAAUUCUACUUCUAUAGGAAAAAUUUUUUUGAACAUUAAUCUUCCAUGACUCCAUCUUUCUUGAUGUUGCCGCUACCACUGCUUCUUCUGUUCUCUUGAUCACCUUUGAUGUCAAAAUUCCUUGAUGCUCCAUAACAAAAGCAAACUAAAGUGGUACACCUGCGACGCCGCCAGGAGUACAGACCAACAAGCUGAAAUCCUUUCUAUUUAUGCCGAUACCAUUCCAGACAGCUUUAUUUAUUAUGGCUAUUGAUCAACCAAAUUAAAAAUGGUGACGAGAUAUGGGUAUACCAUUUUUCUUUUGCACAAUCAGAAAUGCUUUAUUGAAUAUCACAGAAAACUGAUCACAAAAGAUCAGUAUGGAGUACAAUAUGACUCAUCACACUAAGGCUAACAGCCCCCAAAAAAAACAAAGGCACCAGAAGCCUCCCAUAAAGUAAUAGCAUGGUCACCAUUAGCUGUACUCAAUCGAAAACAGAGGAGGAAAGAUCUUACUUCUAUACUAUAUAUAUUAAUAUGAAGGUUAAUUCUGGUUUUGAGAUGUCUUGUUAGGUUUCUUCUUUCUUUUUCAUCUUGUUGUUGGGUUGAUCUUCUUUUUUGUUUUCUCCCCUUGUGGAUGUGUGUUUCUGUUUCUGUUUCUGUUUCUGUAUCUUUGUUUUCUGCUUCUGCGGGUGCUGGCUUUCUCAGCUAGUUUCCUUCUGAACCUCUGUUUCUUUUGUGAUGAUUAUGUUUCAUAUGGACAAUUUGUGUUCUAUUUUGUUGUUUUGAUCUUUUAAUUUUAAUUUUGGGAUGAGUCUUUUUGGAUAUUUCAUCUGUUUGAAAUCCAGUGAAUUGUAAAAUUGAUAGCUAGUCCACCAAACUUAAAAUAAAAAAAGUUGUAAUCACUAAAGCGUACACUAAAUUCAGCAAGGAAAAAACUCCAGCCUAGCUUGAUUACAAAAUUAAAAGUUCUAGAUAGGAAAUAUCUAUAAAGAGGAAUGCCAUAAUAUUUUGUUUUCUUUGUUUUAAUCUUUGGGCCAUGUCUAGCUUGGAAAUGGCUAACGAAUGUUGAGAAAUCAUUGUUCAGAUUGAUGAAUCAAGCACUUAGAACCCUAUGGUAGAAUCAUUAAAUGGAUAGACACUUUCAUGGUCCUUUCUUUUUGAAUUUAAUUCUAUGGCAAAGCCUUUCAUAUACCAGCUAUCCACAUUGCAAGUCUGGAAUCAGUAAUCAGCAAUAUUAUGUUAUCUUUAUGCUAUCUUAUUGUGUACGUAUCCAAGUUACAAAAUAUAAAGCCAUGUUGACAAGGGUAAGGAAGAAACAGGUAUAUAAGUUUUGGCUUUAUAGAGUGCAGGGCUGGAGAGUCUUCCAUCAUCCUAUUUCAUGUUUCUGGCAGUUUGAUAUCAAAAUCUCUGACUUUUAAAUAUAUGUAGCUACCGUCCAUGAAUAAAAGUCAACCAGAUUAUUAUACAAGUCCCUAACUCUAUAGCUCAUAUAGCUUAGCUCAACAAAAGCAAAUAUUCUUUGAUUAUUUAACUAAACGGCAUGUUAAAUUCAUUUACAAUUAGACACUAUCUUAAUUUGAGCAUUCAUACUGGAUAAUUUGAAGCCUAGGAAAAUUUAAUGCUUGAAUAUCAUUUGUAAUUUUAGCCAAUUUCUCAAUAAUAUAAUUAUUAAAUUUACUGUUUGAUAAAUCAGGUUGAAACUAAAAUGGUUUUGUCUCAUCAAUGAAGAAACCAUUUCUAUUUGAAUGGAUUUCUGCUUAGCACCAAGAUUCCAAAGACCAAUAGAAAGGCAUAGGCAGUGGUAGAUCAGCAUCAUCCACGAGUCAGCACUGACAGAGCACAAGCAGUUGAAAGUGCAGCAGCAUUCAAAGAGUGUUGCCAUAACAUAAUAAACCAGCAAAAUCAGAUUUUUUUAUCUUGUUUUGACUAAACAAGAAUUAAUUACUUUUCAUUAAGGAUGAGAUCGAUUCAUAUUGGCCAUCAAUUUGGAAAAGCAUAACAUUUUAUUGAUUUCAGCUUGAAAAAUAUAUUCAAGGCUAAUCUUUACAUUUAGAAGAAAAAAAGAAAAGCAACCUAGAUAUGAAAUACAAAAUUAUAAGGCUACUUCAAAUUGGCACAGGUAGCUCCGAAGGUGGCAGAUGGUCGAAAGCCAACAAUGCAUGUAUGUCAUCUACAUCCUUAUCAGUGAAAAGCUCAUCCAACUUGCUAUUCUCAUCUGUGUUCCUAAUUCCCCAUAGCUGAUCCACCUCCUUGAAAGAGUCAUCAUGGUUUAAUUCCUCAUAUCCACCCGAUAGCUCAUCUACAUUCUUACCAGUGACAAUGACAGGUUCAACCGGUUUGCUACUUUCACUGUUGUUGCUAAUCCCAUGUAGUUGAUCCACUUCCUUCAAACAGUCACCAUCGAUUAAUGCCUCAUAUUCACGCAAUAAUUCAUCUACGCUCUUAUCAAUGACAAGCUCAUCCAAGUUGCUAAUUUGAUCGUUGUUGCUAAUCCCCAAUAGUUGAUCCACCUCACUGUAGGGGUCUUCAUCCAGUAACUGAUCCAUCAAAGAAUCACCCUCACCUACUAGGCCAUUAGAAUCCAUUUCUCCAAAACCAUUUACUCGAGAUUCUGAUCGUUCCACCAAAAUUGAUGAUUGACAUUCCAGGUUCUCUGACUACUGCAACCUUCCAUCUACGUAAUUAUCUACCCAAGGACGGCAUUGUCCAUCAUCGAGCAAAGGUAAAUUUCCACUGAAAACAGCUUCUUGCAUUAAAGCAGAUGAUGGACAUUCUUUGUUUCCAAGAAACAGAUUUCCAAAAAGCUCAUUAACCCAAAAAGCUACACACUUAUCUUCCUCUGAACAGGCUGUGUCUUUGAUCUUGCAGAUAACCCAUUCUUGAAAAUUUUCUCUGGGGAGACGAUACUCAUGCAUAAGCCAGCUAGUUUUGGUGGCAUCCUUUGGAUUUCGUUUCUCACCCUUGUACUCAUAGAAGUUAAGGGUAUUCACGUACCCUAUAACAUGCUCUCCUUGUUCAUCAAGAAUAGGUUUCUCACCUGUUGAAGACCUCCAAAAUCCACCGUCUCCUACUGCUCGACUGUCAAGAACCCUUCUAGGUCGUUUUCCAUUUGCAUUCUUUUGAGAAAUCUUCUGUCGAUGGGUGAAGACGAAACGCUGGUUGGGUUUGACGAACGGAAGAAAGCCUUUGUUAACAUCAAACAGGGCAUCUGGCUUGAUGCAAUAUAGAUCACAAAAUUCAAUGAGGUAGCUAAGUUCGUCGAUCCCUUCACCAGUCAUCAACUUGGGCAGAAAAAAGGAAACUAUUUCCCGAUCAGAAGGAUUGAACACCACUCCUGGAGCUGGAGGAUGGAACAUCAUCGCUAGGGUCGGAGUUAGAAUGAGAUUUUCUUGUUUUGGGAAAGAGAGUGAAGAGGUUUUUAGCGUCAAAAGGAAGCAGAAUGCUUUGUUUUCUGAAAGUGAAGUAAGAAGAAAUCUAGUUGCUUAAUUCUGCUUUUAUUUAUAGUUACCAAAAGAGACGGUUUAAGCAGAAUUCUACUUGCUUAAUUCUAGUUGCCUAAAACGCGUUUUUUGUUUUUAAUUUUAAAUUUGAAAUUUGGUAGCGCUGCUUCUGAUGGUCUCUUGAUCAGCUUUGCUAUGAAAGUUCCUUGAUGGUACAAGAACACUAAAGCAAGGCACCUCACCCUCACUCCAACCAUGGCCGCCGAUAUCAGGAUCUCUACCAGCGACCACCAGGCCUUGUCUCCCAUCACGGUACCUUCCCCCUCUCAAUCUCCCCUCCAAUUCCCAUGUUUCCCCCGUGAGGUUAUAAUUCGCCCCUCCCCUGCAUGUCUUGGGUUUUAGCUCCUGAAUUUUAGCAUGGAAACUCAAUUAGAUUUCUAUUUUAUUUUAAUUAAUAUCAAAUGAACUUCUUUUACUAAAUUUCAAGGAAUUUAUUUGGAAAUGCUCAUAUUUUUUUCACUUUUAAAGUAAAGGAUAUGUUUGUUUGAAAUUUCAAUGUCAGUACAUACGUGUGAUUUCUAUGGUUUCCUGUAAAACAAUGCUCAGAGUUAUUCAAGAUGGUGAUUUGGGUUGGGAUGAAUGGCAUAAUUAGCUUUACUUAAUCAUCUUUUCCAUAACUUGUUACAAUUUUUUACUACAAGAUUGUUAAUAGAUGAGAAUGGAGGGAGACUUUGAAGAAUUGUUAAUAACUGUUUGGGGUAAAGGGUUGAAUCUAUCAUGAUAGGAAAGGGAUGCACUUGAUAGUAAAGAUGUGAUAAGAACUUUUUGAUAAGCAUUAAAUGGGAUGAUUUGGGUUGAAUCCAUCAUGAUAGGAAAGGGAUGCCUCAUGCCUGGUGCCUAGUCUGAUGAGAGAAAGUAAUGAUAACAACUUUUGUUUCGAAACGGACUGUAUAUCACCAGAAUCAUUUCUCAUGCACUGUUACCAGUAUGUUGUUUUGAGGCCUUGUCUGUUGUUUUGGCUCUUUUUCCCCUGUUAGCGCAGGUUUAUCGGGUUCACUUGUAAAUAGGGAAAGAAUUGGUUUCUUUGUCUCUGCAGGACACGGAGGGUAUACUGGUGUUCCUGUUACCAGUCUAUGCUGUGAGGGUCAAGACUAACUGCCAAUCAGUCUUCUACUCUCCUCUGUUUGUUUUUGGACUCCCUCUAUGGAAUGAAUGACUUAAUUUUCAAAAAGCAAAAAAAAAAAAAAAGGUUAAAUCUUUUUCUAUAUACCAUGACCAGAACCCAGCUUUAUUUUUUUGUGGCCAAAUAAAAUUGUGAAGAAAUAUCACUUUGCUUUACAUGAAAGAGAUUAGGAAACAACUUAUUUCUUUGGGAGGUAGGAGAUGUGAUGAAAUUUUUAGGUUGAGAAAAGAUUUAUGGAUGGAUAUAGAAUGAAGCGCAAUUAUAUUUCAUAUGGACAUUUUGUAUUUUACUUUGUUGUUUCGAAUUCUGAAUUUUAAUUUGUUAUAAUUCUUUUUGGAUAUUUAAUUUUCUUGAAAUCCCAUGAGUGGUAAAAAGGAUAGCUAGUCCACCAAAAUAAAACUUGAUUGCAAAUUUAAAAGCUCUAACUAGGAAAUACCUAUAAAGAGGAAUGCCACAAUAUUUUCUUCUUUUUUUUUAAUUUUUGGCCAUUUCUAGCUUGGAAAUAGCUAUUGUUCACAUAGAUGAAUCAAGCACUUGGAACCCUAUGGUAGAAUCAUCAGGUAGAUAGACACUUUCAUGGUAUUUUCUUUCUGAAUUUAAAAUGUAUGGCAAAGUCUUUCAUAUGCCAGCUAUCCACAUUGCAAGUCUGGAAUCAGUAAUCAGCAAUAUUAUGGUAUCUUUGUGCGAUCUUAUUGUAUAUAUAUAUCCAAGUUACAAAAUAUAAAGCCAUGUUGACAAGGCUAAGGAAGAAAGAAGUAUAUAAGUUUUGGCUCUAUAUAGAGUGCAAGGCUGGAGGGCCUUCCAUCAUCCUAUUUCAUGCUUCUGGCAGUUUGAUAUCAAAAUCUCUUGCUUCUCUGAUGCUGGAUUUGUAGGAUUGCAAGAUAUUCUGCUUAUGAACUGUCACCUUCAUGCUGUCGAAAAUUCCUGAUCCAGUAUUAUGAGGAAACUGCUAAGUUACAUGUGACAAGCACAAAUACAUAUCAGAUUACACAGGAGUGAUACCCAGGACAUUAUGAUAACUAAGUGAUGGUGGCGAGAAACUAGAGUUUUGGGAAGUAUAAUUUGCAUCUCAUUGAUGGAAGCCUCCAAAUAACAAAUUUCUUUUUUUGGGCUUUUUGAUAUAAACCAAACAUCAAGGUUGCAUAAAUAACUUUAGUUUUCGGAAGUAUAACUUGGUUAUAAGAGGAAUGCCAUGGUAUUGGUUUUUUAAUUAUUUGGCCGAACUCCAUAGAAAGUCAAAGGGAAGAUUACCUAGUGGUUACUUAUUUCCAUAUACAAUGUCCCCCACAAAUUUAAGUGCUGGAACACCUCUAAUUUCCAUGUCAACUAGGGGUGCUUGGUUUAACUUCAAGCUGGAUAGCUCUGGAUUGUUAUGAAUCAUAUCAAGGGCACGCAUCUGAUGUUGAAAUAUUUAAUUAACAAUAAAUAAUUAAAAAUAUUCGAAUAUUUGAUUUAUUGGUUAGUACAUAAUUUUUUAUUUAAAAAAUAUGAUUCAAAUCCCUCUUCUCUCAAUUAAAAAAAAAACAAUGAAUAAUUAAGGGGAAGAGUAAGUUGGAAAGGAAGAUGAAGAUACUAAUGUUCCAUCUUUUCGUUAAUAUAUUCUUCCAUUCAACAUGCUAUGACACAUCGAUCACCAUUCGUCAUAAUAUUAUUGAGGGUAAACAGAUUUAUACCUUUAUUUUCACAGCACAGAACUUGCAGUCAGAGGCAGAUGGAUGAAGAAUCUGAUUAACAAUAAGUCGCCUGACAGGAACAUUUUCCAUCUCCAAGAAGGCACGUAGUCUAGAUGACUCACUGACUGCCAUCACCUAAGGAAAGGACAUAAAACAUGAGCAAUGAGCACAGAGGUUCUUCUAGUUGUUGUAAUAAGGCAAUGAGCAGAGGCUCUUUGUGUGGACACACAGAACUUUGGAUAGAACUAUAAUCAACACGUUUACCCAUUUCACCUACACGUUUUGUGCUGCAGGUGCUUUUUUAAGGAAGCAGGGAGUUUUCCCUUUCUAGGUACCAUUAUCAACUAUGUAUGAGUAUGACGACUUGAAUAUAAUCUAAUUCAGCAUUUCAAAAAUAUAUAUAUUAUAAAUAUUCAGAAAUCAAAACAUAUUUUUUUAUCAUUUGCACUAAAUUUAUUUGUAAUUUUACAUAUUAUUAUAUUAUAUUGUAGAUAUUUAUAUUUUGUAUGGUUUUAGGAUUGAUACUGUAUGUUGUUUGAAUUUUAAUAAAUUUCAAAUAUAAUUAUAUGCUAAUUUUGCAAUAUUUAUUAUUAAAUAAAAUAUAAAUUAUAUGAUUUAUAAAAUAUAACUGUAGAAAGUGCAGGCAGUGUCAAUAGGAGCUCCCUUGAGCACCUGCACCAUAUAUACACAUUCGAAUCCUCACUAGCAAUAAAUUACAAAUCGAAUACGUUUUGUGACCUUUGUUUUGACACAAGUGUAGGAUCACCUUCUAUGCUCCAGAGAUGGAUUUCUUGGAUUAUAAGCUUCAUCAGUAAGAACUUAUUGUCUUUUGAUAAUGAGAAUGAAGUAAUCAUGUCUACCUCUUCAAUAAGUCACUCAAAUUUUGCCUCCCAGUCGAGCAAUAGUAUAGCAGAUUCUCUGCAUAUGCUUAUGAUCCUCUUAUCAUCAUCAGUUAUGGCCAUAUCUGAGAUUUUAAGUGUCUUCUGUCCUUUACAGCAUUCUCCAGAACUGACAUCCCAAGGCCUCAUACCCUCCUCCUGUCCACAAGUAAGGAUUUGGCUAUCAUCUGGGCUCCAUGAAACAGUUAAUACUGGUUUCUGGUGGCCGCAUAGGGUAGGCUUCAGUGAACUUUGCCCUUGACCACUAGUUAUCUUAAUCCCAUAUGUAGUCCAUGUGUAGUCAUGCAUUCAUUUGGUCCACAAAGGCAAUGUGUGAGGGAUGUGAUCUCAUAUAUAGAAAUUGAACUACAGCGGAUUUGAAUGACCUUAUCUAGCUAUAUAUCUAAUCUUGCACGACAAUCAGCCACCAUUUUUGAACAACUAUGUUGAAAAACUGGAAAAAUAGAAUGCCUUCUGUUGAGAUAAGCUAGUUUCUCACUUUAUUGAUAUAAGACAAUUUUGUAAGUGAUAUCAACUUGACAGAGCUAGCUUAUAAAUUAGCCUGGUCAAUUUGGUUGUUAGUUUGACUACUUACUUUUUCAGAAAUAAUUGAUAUUUUCAAAUAAUUAAAAAAAUAAAAAAAUUCCAUUUAGAAAUCUUUCUUAUCACAAAGAAUUAUUAUGAUUAACCAUUAAAGCCUAUAGAAUAAAGUCUAUUUUCUGGGUUCGUAAUUUGACUUUUCGUCAAUCUAAAUCCAUUUAAACAAAUAUUCAUGGCAAUCUAGAUGACUAGAGUUAGUGUUAAAAUAGACCUUCAUAUUAAUCGUCAUUUGCUUGCAUACUUAAAAAGAACUAACCCAAAAUUUAAAAUGGAAUAUGAAGGAUGUUCUACACCGUGCUAAUUAAAAAGCCAAUUAAAAUAUAGUUGAAAUACUCUACUUAUCAGGGCUUAACAUUAAAAAUUAAUUAAAGCUGUUUCCUGAUAUUAUACCAAAUAUAUAAAUAUCCCUGCAGCUGACAAGGCAAUGUUUUUUCCAUUGAAAAUUUUCUAUAUUAGAUUCAUUGGAAUGAGAAAGAAGAAUUAGAUAUUAUAGCGUGUUUUUCCAUCCAUAUGAUUGAUUUGUAAAAGAUUCUGAUAUUCAAAGAUACUCAAAAUAGGCAUGGCAAAAUAUAAUUAUAAAGUGAAAAAGGUCUUAAUAGGAAACUAUUAUUAGUAUCUUAUGUCAAAUUUAAACCAAAUUACAGAGAUAUAUGUAUGUCAAGAGAUACAAUAAUUUUGAGCUUGCUUAUUUAAUUAUGGCUACAUGACUAGGUAUAAAUAAGUGACUUCCUAGUCAAGUGUAUAAGCCCUUUGCAUUUAACCAAUGACGGGAACCCUGGUAACGAUCCCAUCAGUGUUAACCCAAACACGAACCCUAGUGCACAAGAAAUCCGGGGUGACAAAUGAUCCUUCCAACACAAUCACAGCAUUGACAUUAGGAUUCUCCCUCUCAAUUGUAGCUGCUGCCUCCUCCCCUUUUGCUCCCAGGAGCUCCGGCCAUGAACUUUUCCCUACAUAUAUAGGCAUAGCCACAAGAAUUUGCAUUAAACAAAAGGAAAUUGUUAAUCAGUACAAACCAUUCGAGGCUCUGGAAGUUGUUAUUUACCUUGGCAUUCAUCUGAAGCCAUGUUUCUCUUCUUUUCACUCUAUUGCAAUAUCCUUUUCCUCUUUGAUUUAAUUGUGUUAUGGCAAUCGGGUAAAAGGGGUAUUUAUAGAUGAAAAGUAUAUGGUGGUUUGUUGGACAUUAUUGACUUUCAAGGCUUAUGCCAAAAGUUUGAAGUUCUUGGCAAAUUAAUUGUUCCAUAGUUUUCAAACCUGCAUUUAGCUAUAUGAUCAGAAAUCCGUCAGCUGUAAUUACAUGAUAGAUGGUGCAUUCUUUAAGCAAUUCUUCUCACGUUUCCUUUCAGAUUUUAUUUAAAACCAUCGGAUAUAUAUAUAUAUGAUCAGCCACUAUUUUUUCAUUGAAAUUUUCUAUGCGUCUGAUUACAUCAAAGCUUCUUUGAACAGUUCCAUGUCUUUACUUGCAGAUAUUGCAAUAGCCAAUAGGGAAGCUUAUCACCAAGAUUGGCUUAUGCUUCAAGACAUUUCUUGAAUCAAGGCAAGGUUUUAAAAGGAAUGGCUUAAAACUGAUCUACAUCUCUACUGGUCAAAGUCAGCCUGUAAAUAUAUUGCGUACGUUGAAAAUUGUGCAUUUUCAUUCACAUUCAAUCCAAAUUUCCUAACAAGAUAUAUAGUUAAUUAAUUAUUGUAAGCAUUCGGUUUUCAUUUUAUAAAUACUAGAGUGGUGCCCCGCUUUGCGUGGGUGUUAAAUUUUUUAUUAAAAACAAUAUCAAAUUAUAUAAUAUUAUAAAUAAAAAUAAUAAUUUUAAAUUUAAAAACACUAUAAAUAAUAGUUAUAAUGAUAAUUUAAAGAUAAUUAUUUUAAAAAUUAUUUUUUAAAAUAUUUCUCAUCUCUUAUUAAGCAAAAUUUUUUAUUUAAAUAAUUUUUUUGAAAACAUUUAAUUUUUUAUAUCUUAAUAUAUGCUAAUAUUGAUAUAUUUAUAUUUUAUUAAUUACAUGAUUCUAACUGUGAAAUCAAAUUUAUAUUGAGAAAAUAUAAUGUUUUAAAAGUAAUUAUUGAUAAGCUAUAUAAUUGAUAUAAUAAAAUUAUUCAAAUAAAAUAAAAAUUUUUGAAAGUCAAAAUGAAAUAAAUAUUAAUUAUACUUAUUAAAUUUUUUUUAGUUUUAAUGAUGAAAUUUUCUAAAUGAUCUUUAAUUUUAAUUAAUACUUUUUUAUCUCAUGCCUUUAUAAUUAUUUAGAAUUAAUCUCCCUUAUAAUUCCUUUCGUGUCUCAUUAAAAAUUAAAAAUUUGCUUCACGUCAAACUUGAAUGAAAUCCAUAAAUGUCCACUAAAAAAGUUUAUUUUUAUAUUUUAUUCUAUAAAAAAUAUAUAUUUCAUAGUACAUGAAAGCACUGUUAGCUUCAAUUCCCUAUGAACCAAAACAUUAUCAAUACGGUAAAAAUGCUCUUAUGAAGCUAAAGAAAAAAAUUCCUCUGUUGACAAUCUUAAAUGCAACCGACCUCACAAAAAUCAUCUCAAAAUUUUUUAUAAAUCAACCAUUUUAAAUUAGCCACAUGUCAAUGAAAAAAGCCACAAACGUGGCCAAGUGUGGAAGCCCCUUUGAAGCUUCCCUUUACUUAAGUUAUAGAUAUAUCUAUUUAUUGAAUCGAAAGUGUACAUUUAAUUUGAAAUAGAUCAUAGGAAAUGUAACAUGGGGUGAAAUUAUAAAGUGUUUUGUGAUCUUUAUUGAGAUUUCAUUUUUAUGUAAUGUAGAGAAACAAACUCAAUGAUGAACCAUGAUAGAGUUGAAUCAUUUCAUUUUCAUCACAGCUUGAACACGAACCAAUCUGGAAUCAAACCGUGGGGGUCUGUACCGAGGAAGGGUAUUACUAUUCUACCAUUUGAGUCCUUCCAACUUCACCUUGACAAAUUUAUCACCACGCAGCCCUAACCCCUAAAUCUGAUGAGGAAAAACCCAAAAUGCCUCUGUCCCAAAAUAUUUAAAUUACAUUUACAUAUUUUUUGUCAAUAAUGAUUUGCACUUUUUAAGUAUUAAUUACAUACAAGGGAGCCAAAUCAUAUUCAUCUUGUAAGAAAGAAAUGACAUGAUGCUUCAUUUAAAAAAAAAAAGAAGAAAUUAAAACUAAAUGUAACCUACCGCUAUAUAUAAAGUAUAAAUUAAUAACUUUUCUUUGAAAAUUAGAAAUUCAUAUCUGUCCAUGGCAUUCUCUUUCCAGAUUCCAAUUUCAUGGCAAAGUCUUUCCAUAUGUCUGAUCUCUACAUACUAUUGCAAUCCCAAAUCAGAAAUCAGGCUUUGAUAUCUUAUAAAGCUUUAUCCUGAUCUCACAAAAUAAAUGUUGUAGUAGUUGACAAGGUAAUUUGUUCUCUAUGUUCCUAUAUUACGAAUAAAUAACAGUUUACAGAAUUAAAUUUGACUCAAUAGUUCAUGUAUGUGUUCCCUUCAAAGAAUGAGAUUUGAAUUUCUUUUCUUCAAGAAAACAAAAGAAAGAAAAUGUUAUAAGAUUGUCAUUAUUUGCAACAACAUUCUCUGACAUCACAAGAAUUAAUCCUUCUUGAGCAAUUGGAGUUAAUAGGAGUUAAGAGGAUGUAAGACGACAUUUUGCAAAGAAUGGACCAUUUAGGUCCGGCACCUUCAAAAUUUUGCAUUUUUUCUCCCUUAAUUCCAAAUUCAAGUGCAUGACAAAAUAUGAUCAUAAAGUACAAAGAAGUCUUAAUGGAGACGGUUCAAAAUCUUAUUUCAAAUUAAAAAUAAAUUACAAACUUAAAUAAAGAUAAUGAGAUCAUAUAACAUAAUAUUGGGUAUUCUUAUUUUAAAUUAUAAUACAUAAUUCGUGUUUAUUAAAGAAAUUAAAACAAGUAACUUGCUAGUAAAGCAUAGGCCCUUCACAAUUUAACCAAUCAUAGGAACCCUGGUAACAAUCCCAUAGGUGUUAACCCAAACUCGAACCCUAGUGCACAAGAAAUCCGCUGUAACAAAUGAUCCUUCUAACACAAUCACAGCAUUGACACGAGGAUUCUCCUUCUCAAUUGUUGCUGCCGCAUCCUCCCCUUUCUUCCCCACAAGCUCAGGCCAAGAACUUUUCCCUACAUUUAUAGCCACAAGAACUUAUAUAAUUGCCUUUAAGGAAAUAAUAUUAUUAGUACAAUUACAAAUCAUUCCUAGCUUCGAAAGUUGUUAAUAUUUACCUUCGCAUUCAUCUGAAGCCAUCUUGUUCUUCCUCUUACUCUAUUGAACUAUUUUUUCUCCUUUGAUUUGUUUUUGUUAUGGAAACUAGUUAAGAUGGGUAUUUAUAGAUGAGUAGGUUAGCCUGCUGCUCAUUAUAUUGACCUUUAUUAGAAGCUUAUGUUGAAAGUUUCAAGUUUUUUUUUGGGGAUAAAUUGUUUGUUGUAUUCCAACGUCAGCUCUGAUGAAGAUUAGGAUGAAGACAGUUGGCGCACUCUUCAGCAAUUUUUCUCACUUUCCUUACCAAAAUUAAAUUUAGAGUUCAAGGAUAUAUGGUUUCCGCGACCAUUUGUCUAAUGAAAUUUUCUAUUACUACAUAUUCUUUGAGCAGCUCAAAUCUUAACUCGUCUAGAUUUUGCAAAAUUGGAUUAUGCUUCAAGAUAUCUUGAAACAUUUAUUGGCUUAAAACUAUGAAUUUAAGUCAAUUGAUGAUCCAUAUACAUAUAUCUAUAAACAAAGGACCAAAUCUUAAUCAUGUAAAAGAGAAAGCAAAAAUGGAAACCACAAACAUAUGAGAUAAAGUUGAAGUCUUUGAUGUGUUCCAACAAGGAAGACUUGAAAUUCAAUUUGUGUAUGGUGUGAACACCCAAAAAUUAAAGAAAACAAACACAUUAGAAAGUCAUAAUAGCUAUAUAUCUAUAAACAACUUUAAACAAGCACGGAAAUUUUAAAGCUAUAUAUAAAGAGUUGAAAGUCUUUGUUCCGAGAAGGAAGACUGAAUCUUACAUUUUGAUUUAUCUCUCGGAGAAGUGAUUGUUAAAUGAUGAUAUAUUCUUUGAUUAUUUAAAGUCAAUAGAGCAAUAAUGAGUAUGGGAUAUUUGAAUGGUGAAUUCAAUUCUUUUAGAAUUAGACAUUAUCUUUGAGGUUUUGAGCAUCCAUAUUUAAAUAGCUUGAAGACGAUGUACAAUGCUUCAAUGAUUAAUUUAUCAAGUUAAUUAAUAAGUUAGGUUCCAAGUCCAAAUUCUACUCUUAAAAACUGGGUUAAAAUUAAAUUGGUUUCGUCUCACUGAUUAAGUAAUCAUUUAUAACUAUUUAUUCUAUUAUUUAUUAUUACUGAUGUCAGAGAGUCUAAACCAACUAUCUAUUAAGCAAAAUCAGAUUUUAAUCUUAUCAAGCAUUGUUUAUGGUUUUCUAAAUGGCUAAAGCAUAAAAUAAGUCCUUAUACUUAAUUAAAUCUAUCAUUUGAGCUUUUAUCUUUUUAUUGUAUUAAAUAUUUGAGUUCUUAAUCAACUAUUACAAUCAAUUGAGUCCUUCCUGGAAUACAUAAAAACUUUAACACCAUUAGCACUUUCUAUCAAUGAGAAUAGGAUUGUCAUGUGACAUAAAUAAUGUGGCAUUUUUUAGGCAUGUGUUAAAAUAAAAAACAAAAUUUCCUUUCAUUCUUGACAUGUAUUAAAAAUGACCAUUUCUUUUAACUUGACACACAUGCUCAAAAAAUGUCAUGUGAAAAUAUUUAUUCCACAUCAUUCAUAUCACAUGAAAAUUAUAUUCCGACUAAUAGAAGGAAUUAAUGGUGUUAAAAUUUUCAUCAAAUAAGAAUCCAAUUGAUUGUAAUUAAAAACUUAAUUAUUUACAAUAGAAUAGAAGCUCUUGCAAUACAUUUAAUUACAUAUAUUCAUGGGCUUAUUUUGCUUUUAGUCAAAUCAUAUUCAUCUUGUGUGAAAGAAAUGACAUGAUGCCAGUUGACAUGCUGCUUCAAUAUUUUAAAAAAUAAAUAAAUAAAACUAAAUGUAACAUAAAUAAAGUAUAUAUAAGUAUUUUUAUGAAUACAUUAAAAAAUCAAUAACUUGAUUAGGCAUUGUACAAAUAUAUACUAUAUUCCCUUUGGAAAUUAGAAAUUCAUAAUUCAUCCAUGGCAUUCUAUUUCCAGAUUCCAAUUUCAUGGCAAAAUCUUUCCAUAUGUCAUAUAUUUCUACAUUGCAAAUUCCAAAACAGAAAUCAGGCUUUGUAUCUUAUAAAGCUUUAUCCUGAUAUCAUAAAAUAAAUGUCUUAGUAAUUAACAGGGCAACUUUUUCUCCAUAUUUAUGUAUUACGAAUAAAUAACAAUUUAUAAAAUCAAAUUUAACUCAUUUAUGAUUUGUAUAUGUAUUCCCUUCAAAGAGCCUUAAUGGAGACCGUUUAGCAACUAAUUAUACCAAAUUUGAUACAAAUUAGAGACUUACGUAGAUAAACAAUGAGAUCAAAUAAUCAAAUUUAUUCUUAUUUCAUAUUACAACAUAGUCCCCAUUUAUUAAAGAUAUAAAAGCAAGUAACUUGCUAUAGUCGAGCAUAAGCCCUUCACAAUUUAACCAAUGAUGGGAACCCUGGUAACGAUCCCAUUGGUGUUAACCCAAACCCGAACCCUAGUGCACAAGAACUCCAAUGUAACAAAUGUUCCUUCCAACACAAUCACAGCAUUGACAUGAGGAUUCUCCUUCUCAAUUCUUGCUGCUGCAUCCUCCCCUUUCUUCCCCACAAGCUCAGGCCACGAACUUUUCCCUACAAAUAUAGCCGCAAGAACG
rnacentral:lncRNA from 1 species